rnacentral:lncRNA from 1 species
CUGAGGUCUUGUUUUUGUAUUCUGUAGGAGUAAGGUGAGGCCCUGAACAAAGAAGGCUCACUCCUGACUUACCUUGAAAGUGGAGAUCUAAUGGGACAGCCAUGCAUUUUACUAUGGAGAAGUAACAACGAUGUCCCUAUCACGUAUUUGGGACCCCUCUGGGCUAAGAGGAAUGAAGACACAGAGCCUUGUCUAUUGCCUGUGAUCCACAAAACUCAGCACAAGAAAUGGAAGAAAGAAAUCUCAGCUGCAAUAAAUGUUUGUUUUCAUUUUUUUAAAAUCCAUAUUAAUCACUAUUAGACAUUUAU